rnacentral:rRNA from 1 species
UACAGAGGGCUCGAGCGUUGUUCGGAUUCAUUGGGCGUAAAGGGCGCGUAGGCGGCUGGGUAAGUCUGGUGUGAAAUCUCGGAGCUCAACUCCGAAAUUGCACUGGAUACUGCUCUGCUAGAGGGCUGGAGAGGAGAUCGGAAUUCACGGUGUAGCAGUGAAAUGCGUAGAUAUCGUGAGGAAGACCAGUGGCGAAGGCGGAUCUCUGGACAGCUCCUGACGCUGAGGCGCGAAGGCUAGGGGAGCAAACGGG